rnacentral:ncRNA from 1 species
GCGGGCUUGGAUUCAUGAUGCUGUGGGCCCGCAUCACAGCGCGUCAAGCGAGCGAUCACGGGGAUCUCCAGACGCUCGUCGGUACAGCCGCUGACUGCUUAAAGUAGGCCGUUGAGGGAAGCUCGCAUUGCUCUCAUCGCUCCGAAUUUCAUGUAGCAGUCGCGCCGCAUGCCGUGGAGGGGUGAGCUGUGUUGGCAGCUCAGAAGAUGCGGGACGCCG